CCCAUUGCCAUCCCUACAUUGAAAUUUUCAAAGUGGAGUGAGUAGCUCUUUCAUUUGGAUUUUGGAGUACUUGCUCUUCAGCUUCAUUGCAAAACAAUUUUCUUGCAAGAAUAUUAAAGGAGUAAUCGGCUUGUAAGUUCACGCAGUCAUAGGCAUAGGCCUUUUUAUGUACUGAGUAUAUAUUUGACCGUUUGGUAAUGAAAUCAUUUAGUUACCAAAAAAAUAAUAAUCUUUGUUUCUAAAUAUAAACUCGAUCCAUGUAUUUUAUCUAUCCAUCUGGUUUUACGAGUAUGUGAACUGUCAAAUGUCUAAUUUAUAAUCAGGAGGUCUGAUUCACCUUAGAGAUGAGCCAAUUCUCAAUAUGUUACUGGCACAACUUUUCUGUUCAGUGCUUAUAGUGAUUAAUUAUCUAGCAAAGUACAAGCAAACGGUCAGCUGUGGUAAUCAAAAGUUCAAUUCAGCUGAUCUCAUGGACUUUGCCAAGCAACAGGGAAGAGCACAUAAAUAAGAGGAGUGACGCUGAUGAAUUUAUAUUAACGUUUGUACUGGAGAUGAUCACAAUGGGAGGCUUCAAGCUUAGAGUUCGAGCAUGACUAUAAAAUUCUCACGAGUCAAGAUAACAUUCCCCAAAACCAAUAGUACUUGACAGAAGGGGCUUCGGAUCCAGCAAUUGCCUCGAGAAAUUAUGAUUGCCGAACUUGAAUGUUAUCUUCUUGAUUGGCUUGUCUAGAAGA